rnacentral:rRNA from 1 species
AACGAACGCUGGCGGCAUGCCUAACACAUGCAAGUCGAACGAGACCUUCGGGUCUAGUGGCGCACGGGUGCGUAACGCGUGGGAAUCUGCCCUUUGCUUCGGAAUAACAGUUAGAAAUGACUGCUAAUACCGGAUGAUGUCUUCGGACCAAAGAUUUUAUCGGGCAAAGGAUGAGCCCGCGUAGGAUUAGGUAGUUGGUGGGGUAAAGCCUACCAAGCCGACGAUCCUUAGCUGGUCUGAGAGGAUGAUCAGCCACACUGGGACUGAGACACGGCCCAGACUCCUACGGAGGCAGCA